rnacentral:lncRNA from 1 species
AAUUAUAAAAUUUUACUUUAAACUUUUAUAACAAAACAUAACGUUUCAGUUCAGUUAAACCGUAAGAAAAAUAAGCUAGUUUCAUAUAGCUAUUAAUUAUAUAUAUACAAUACAUUGAAGUACGACUUCCAAAAUAUUAUCUAGCCUAUACAUGCCAUAAGUUAAAAUUUAAACGUUUUAAUACCGAGAUAGUUGAUAGAGUGAUGAUCUUCACUAACGAUCCCCGAGUCUGCAGCUUGGUUUUUUUUUAUCUAUAAAACAAACGGACAAAAACAAUCAAAGUAAGCUUUUAUAGCUUAGUAAGUUUAUAGCAUAUCUAAAAUACAUAUAAACGAACAUAUGUAUAAACAAUAUAUGCUUAUAAUCAAGUUCCAAACAUAGUCAUUAAUAGCAUAUACUGAUUUCUAAUAUACUUAUCAUUUGCAUUUCAUAGAAUGCAUAUCUAUGAUCUUUCAAAUACAUAUGUCAAAAACUUAUAUUUUUACUUAUCAACUACAUAAACCAAAUGCACAUCUAUACUUUUAAUCCACAUGUGCCGAAUGCAUACAUGUAUAUUCAAUAAUUUUCAUAACAACCAAUAUAUGUGCCUAUUCACUAAACACAGAGAUCCAAACCUUUAUAUGCUCAUCAAAUACAUAUAAACAAAUGCUCAUAUACUUAUCCAUUAUAUAUAACCCAAAAUCAUAUAUAUAUAUCAAAUGCGUAUAAUCGCUUAAUUUAACAUAUUCACCGGCACUUAGCCUGCUAGGCUUAUAGCCUGAUUCAGAUCACCGGCACUUAGCCUGCUAGACUUAAAGUCCGAAAUAUUUCACUGACAAUAAACCUGAUAGGCCCUGAGCCUGAAAAUCUCAAUUUACAGAAAUUGUAACUCAUAUUCGAACUAUAUUUGUAUAUAAUAUCCAUACAUAAAAAUUCAGCUCAAUAAUUUAUAAACUAUAUCUUUAAACCACAUAGAUAUAUAAAGAUCAAAUACCAAAUUCAGCUAAAUAAUUUAAUUAUACAUCAGAAAACUCACAUAUAUAUAUAUAUAACUUAAUAAAUUAAAUUCUACUACUAAAAUCUUAUCAUUUAACUUAUAUCAUACCUUAAGUAAUAUACAUUUACUAAUCGAAUCACUUAAAUACAUAUAUAUUUCAUAACCUUAAAAAUCAAAUCAAAUAAAAUAUAUCAUACAUUCGAACACUUUAUUGAUAAUCUAAGCUAACAAUUUCAUACCUUUGAUUUAGAACAAAAACUUAUACAUGUAUAUACAUACAUAUUCAAAAUUACAUAUACAUACAUAACAUUCAUACCUUUAAAUAUAUUCAAGACUUAUUUAUGAGUAUAAAUAUAUAUUCCAACUCACAUAUACAUAUAUAUAACAUUCCUACCUUUAACCAAGUCCAAGGUUUUAUACAUGUAUAUGCUCAUAUAUAUAUAUUCGAACCUUAUGUAUAUAUAUAUAUAUAUAUUAUAUAUACCUUUGAUUAAAAACAAGAAUUUAUACAUAUAUAUAUUUUCGAACAUGAUACAUAUAUAUACAUAUCAUUCAUACUUAAGAAAAUUCAAUCCAUAUACUUUCAAUUUCAGCUCAUCAAAAUACAAUAGAUAUACAUGCACAUAUACUGAUUUAAUAACAUCAAAUUGCUAAUAGACUUACCUCGGAUAUCAGCAGACAAGAUCGACUAUUCAAUUACUUUCGUUUUCCCCCGAUCCAAAUCCGUUUUCUUCGUUUCUUGAUCUAAACAUAAUCAAAUUUAACCUUUUUAUUCAUCAAAACAUUCAAUUAAGUCCAAAAAUACAUAAAUUGGUAAAUUACCAUUUUGCCCCUAACAUUUUACACUUUUUGCAAUUUAAUCCUUUUUGCACAAAACACAAAAUACACAAAAUUUGCCCACACUAAGCUAGGGCCAAAUAUUCCUUGUCUUCAUACAAGUCCACACAUUUCAUUUAUUUCACAUUUUAAUCCCUCAAGAAUUCAUUUUCACAAUUUAGCUCUAAUUUCUCAAAUUCACUAAAAAUUCAAAGACAAAAUAUGUUAAUCUAUCACAUUUCUUUCAUUUUUCAUCAUCAACUAUCACAAUGUUCAAGCAUUCAUCAAUGGCACCUUUCAAAAUCAUCAACAAUUCACAAAAUUAAGGCAUGGGUUUUGAAGUAUUCAAAGCAACGAUCUCAAAAACAUAAAAAUUAUCAAAAACCGAACUAAAUCCAUACCUUAAUCCAAACUUGAAAGUGCCGAACCCUUAACCAGGUAAAUGACUUUCUUUUCUUCUCACAUUCGGCCAAAAAAA